UACGGGGGGGGCAAGCGUUGUUCGGAAUUACUGGGCGUAAAGGGCUCGUAGGCGGCCAACUAAGUCCGACGUGAAAUCCCCAGGCUUAACCUGGGAACUGCGUCGGAUACUGGAAGUCUCGAGGGAGGUAGGGGCAUGCGGAACUGCGGGUGGAGCGGUGAAAUGCGUUGAUAUCCGCAGGAACUCCGGUGGCGAAGGCGGCGUGCUGGACCUCUUCUGACGCUGAGGCGCGAAAGCCAGGGGAGCGAACGGG
rnacentral:rRNA from 1 species